GUCCUGAGUAAGGAUGCAGGGGAAUGUGCAAUCUGCCUAGAGGAGCUGGUACAGGGGGACACAAUUGCUCGCCUGCCUUGUCUCUGCAUAUACCACAAAGGCUGUAUUGAUGAGUGGUUUGAGGUGAACAGAUCGUGUCCAGAACAUCCCUCAGACUAAAGGGCAUCGCUACUUUUCUCCACAGGUUUCUUACUCCCUCAAUAAGAAGAGUGAUCUGCUCCAAUAACAACAGUCCUCAAUGUGAAUCCCCUCCCCUUCCCCGUCGACCAAGGAGACUGCUGGACAGACACACUGUGACUCUGUGGCCAGUACAGAACUGACCCCUGACCCUACCCCCACCACCUCCAGUACGUCUCAACAGCCCUCAACACACCUCAACUCAAACCAGUCAAGUACCGCAGUGUGCCAAAACUCAUUAAAAGCAAUUUUCAGGGAAACUACAUUUAAUGCUGAUCUAUCUAUUUAUCUUCACACACAAACACAAUCUGCUCCAAGACAAGACCAGACAGACACAGACACACAAACUCACAAAUACACACUCACA